UGUAAGCGUAUACCAAAGUUGUUGCAGUUAAAACGCUCGUAGUCGGAAUUUGGCAGUUCCGGAUGUGUGCACGUCGUGUGCGCACUUCGCGGGGAUUGCUUUUGUGGUCUUGCGUAGGAUGAGGCACUUUUAUUAGUGAACGUCCUCACGCAACCACUUUUUACUGUGAGAAAAUCAGAGUGCUCAAAGCAGGCAUUUGCCGUGAAUGUAUUAGCAUGGAAUAAUAGAAUAGGACUUGGUUCUAUUUUGUUGGUUUGUUGGGACUGAGUAAUGAUUAAGUGGGACAGUUGGGGGCAUUUGUAUUUCGGUGCUAGAGGUGAAAUUCUUAGAUUACCGAAAGACAAACUGCUGCGAAAGCGUCUGCCAAGGAUGUUUUCAUUGA
rnacentral:rRNA from 1 species